GUGCCAGCAGCCGCGGUAAUACAGAGGGUGCUAGCGUUGUUCGGAAUUAUUGGGCGUAAAGCGCGUGUAGGCGGCCGGCCAAGUCGGAUGUGAAAGCCCUCGGCUCAACCGAGGAAGUGCGUUCGAUACUAGCUGGCUCGAGUACCGGAGAGGGUGGUGGAAUUCCCGGUGUAGAGGUGAAAUUCGUAGAUAUCGGGAGGAACACCAGUGGCGAAGGCGACCACCUGGACGGAUACUGACGCUGAGACGCGAAAGCGUGGGGAGCAAACAGGAUUAGAUACCCUAGUAGUCC
rnacentral:rRNA from 1 species